rnacentral:rRNA from 1 species
UUUAUGGAGAGUUUGAUCCUGGCUCAGGAUGAACGCUGGCGGCGUGCCUAAUACAUGCAAGUCGAGCGAACGGACGAGAAGCUUGCUUCUCUGAUGUUAGCGGCGGACGGGUGAGUAACACGUGGAUAACCUACCUAUAAGACUGGGAUAACUUCGGGAAACCGGAGCUAAUACCGGAUAAUAUUUUGAACCGCAUGGUUCAAAAGUGAAAGACGGUCUUGCUGUCACUUAUAGAUGGAUCCGCGCUGCAUUAGCUAGUUGGUAAGGUAACGGCUUACCAAGGCAACGAUGCAUAGCCGACCUGAGAGGGUGAUCGGCCACACUGGAACUGAGACACGGUCCAGACUCCUACGGGAGGCAGCAGUAGGGAAUCUUCCGCAAUGGGCGAAAGCCUGACGGAGCAACGCCGCGUGAGUGAUGAAGGUCUUCGGAUCGUAAAACUCUGUUAUUAGGGAAGAACAUAUGUGUAAGUAACUGUGCACAUCUUGACGGUACCUAAUCAGAAAGCCACGGCUAACUACGUGCCAGCAGCCGCGGUAAUACGUAGGUGGCAAGCGUUAUCCGGAAUUAUUGGGCGUAAAGCGCGCGUAGGCGGUUUUUUAAGUCUGAUGUGAAAGCCCACGGCUCAACCGUGGAGGGUCAUUGGAAACUGGAAAACUUGAGUGCAGAAGAGGAAAGUGGAAUUCCAUGUGUAGCGGUGAAAUGCGCAGAGAUAUGGAGGAACACCAGUGGCGAAGGCGACUUUCUGGUCUGUAACUGACGCUGAUGUGCGAAAGCGUGGGGAUCAAACAGGAUUAGAUACCCUGGUAGUCCACGCCGUAAACGAUGAGUGCUAAGUGUUAGGGGGUUUCCGCCCCUUAGUGCUGCAGCUAACGCAUUAAGCACUCCGCCUGGGGAGUACGACCGCAAGGUUGAAACUCAAAGGAAUUGACGGGGACCCGCACAAGCGGUGGAGCAUG